GAUGAACGCUGGCGGCGUGCCUAAUACAUGCAAGUCGAGCGAACAGACGAGGAGCUUGCUCCUCUGACGUUAGCGGCGGACGGGGGAGUAACACGUGGAUAACCUACCUAUAAGACUGGGAUAACUUCGGGAAACCGGAGCUAAUACCGGAUAAUAUAUUGAACCGCAUGGUUCAAUAGUGAAAGACGGUUUUGCUGUCACUUAUAGAUGGAUCCGCGGCGCAUUAGCUAGUUGGUAAGGUAACGGCUUACCAAGGCAACGAUGCAUAGCCGACCUGAGAGGGUGAUCGGCCACACUGGAACUGAGACACGGUCCAGACUCCUACGGGAGGCAGCAGUACGGCAUCUUCCGCAAUGGGCGAAAGCCUGACGGAGCAACGCCGCGUGAGUGAUGAAGGUCUUCGGAUCGUAAAACUCUGUUAUUAGGGAAGAACAAAUGUGUAAGUAACUAUGCACGUCUUGACGGUACCUAAUCAGAAAGCCACGGCUAACUACGUG
rnacentral:rRNA from 1 species